GACGAACGCUGGCGGCGUGCUUAACACAUGCAAGUCGAACGGAAAGGCCCUGCUUUUGUGGGGUGCUCGAGUGGCGAACGGGUGAGUAACACGUGAGUAACCUGCCCUUGACUUUGGGAUAACUUCAGGAAACUGGGGCUAAUACCGGAUAGGAGCUCCUGCUGCACGGUGGGGGUUGGAAAGUUUCGGCGGUUGGGGAUGGACUCGCGGCUUAUCAGCUUGUUGGUGGGGUAGUGGCUUACCAAGGCUUUGACGGGUAGCCGGCCUGAGAGGGUGACCGGCCACAUUGGGACUGAGAUACGGCCCAGACUCCUACGGGAGGCAGCAGUGGGGAAUAUUGCACAAUGGGCGGAAGCCUGAUGCAGCAACGCCGCGUGCGGGAUGACGGCCUUCGGGUUGUAAACCGCUUUCGCCUGUGACGAAGCGUGAGUGACGGUAAUGGGUAAAGAAGCACCGGCUAACCACGUG
rnacentral:rRNA from 1 species